rnacentral:rRNA from 1 species
UACGGGGGGGGCAAGCGUUGUUCGGAAUUACUGGGCGUAAAGGGCUCGUAGGCGGCCAACUAAGUCAGACGUGAAAUCCCUCGGCUUAACCGGGGAACUGCGUCUGAUACUGGAUGGCUUGAGUUCGGGAGAGGAAUGCGGAAUUCCAGGUGUAGCGGUGAAAUGCGUAGAUAUCUGGAGGAACACCGGUGGCGAAGGCGGCAUCCUGGACCGAUACUGACGCUGAGGAGCGAAAGCCAGGGGAGCAAACGGG